GGCAAAGAACUUGGUGGCUUCAUAUGUC
rnacentral:piRNA from 1 species